GUGGGGAAUCUUAGACAAUGGGGGAAACCCUGAUCUAGCCAUGCCGCGUGAUCGAUGAAGGCCUUAGGGUUGUAAAGAUCUUUCGCUGGGGAAGAUAAUGACUGUACCCAGUAAAGAAGCCCCGGCUAACUCCAUGCCAGCAGCCGCGGUAAUACGGAGGGGGCUAGCGUUAUUCGGAAUUACUGGGCGUAAAGCGCACGUAGGCGGACCAGAAAGUUGGGGGUGAAAUCCCGGGGCUCAACCUCGGAACUGCCUUCAAAACUCCUGGUCUUGAGUUCGAGAGAGGUGAGUGGAAUUCCGAGUGUAGAGGUGAAAUUCGUAGAUAUUCGGAGGAACACCAGUGGCGAAGGCGGCUCACUGGCUCGAUACUGACGCUGAGGUGCGAAAGCGUGGGGAGCAAACAGGAUUAGAAACCCCGGUAGUCC
rnacentral:rRNA from 1 species